CUUCCAACAUCUCUGUGUUGGCAGAAGGAGGCACCCCAGCUGGACCCCGGGUUCUAGAGCCUGGAACUUGGCCGGCUUGGAGUUCCAGAGCCCUUACCUGGCCCACCAGCCUCUUCUCUAGGCCUUGCGAUGAUGGCCCCUGGGGGCUGAGGUGGGAACAGAGUAGGGCAGCCCAGGAUCCACCGAGAGCCGCCUCCACCCUCCUCAGGCCAGGCUGCCAAUGUGAAUAUUAGCUGGUGUGAACUAAUUUCAUGGGGAAAAACAAACCCACCCGUCUACCCUGGGUGCCAGAGGCAGGCUGGCGCGCCCUGACUCCGUGCCGGACUGGCAGUGAGCUGGGCACACAGAAAAAAACGGACCCUGGAUGCAGAGUGACAGAGCCGAAGGAGGCACCCGGCCCUUCCCUGGCCUGAUCACCAGGGCAUGGCCGGAGUCCACGUCCACUGACAUCGUCGGCGGCCUGUCAGUGGCCUUGGAACUUGACUCCUCCUUGGGUCUCUCAGGGGCUCCGCACAGGCUCGCCUGUUCAGCAAGCCCUUCCCGUUCCCCGCCCCACAGGGUUCUCCUGAUAGCUUGCUAGAGACACUCCACUUGAGCAGUUCCAUUUGACAGAUGAGCAGGCUGAGGCUUUCAGGAAGAGGGAAGGUCCCUGAAAGUGCGUUGGCUGGAGGUGAAUCGGAGAGUGGCCAGAGGUUUGCAGGCUCAGGGACCUUCCCGAGGGGGAAUGUUUGGGUGCUUUGUGGGGGAAGCCUGUGGAGGGGGAGAUACGAAUCCCCUGUAGACUCAGUCCUCCCUACUCCAUCCUAGGGCAGAGAUGAGGGGCCAGCCCUGGGACCCAGAGCCGCUACCUGCCCCCCCCCGUCUGCCUGUGUUCUGCCUUCUCUCUCCCUGGCAACUCCCUUCCUGUCCAAAAGAGAGGAGUCCCAAGGUUGGGGGCUCUGGGCAGUGCCUCCUCCUAGAUGCUAACUUUGAUGGGGGCAAAGAGAAUUCGUUCCUUCUCAUCGACCCAAUCCCAGAUCCUCAGCCAAGUUAUGGGGAGCAGGGAUCUGGGGUGCAGGAGUUAGCUGGAGGUCUCAUCCGGGGCCCCUCCCACAUGUCUCUGCCCCUUGGCUUCUCAGAGAGCCGGCAUUCCCCAGGCCUUCUGGAACGGAGAAGCCUGGAUAGGCCUCCUUGGUGACUUGUUCUGGCUCAAGAGCCCACCAUGGCUCCCACUUUCCCAACAUCCCAUAUCUAAUUGUUUCCCCUCUGCUCCUGCCCUCACCACCCUCAGCCUGGCAGGGACACAGACAGAAAAAAUAAUUCCAUCCACGAGCGUUUUGUCAGGUCUGUCCAUUGGAAGAAAGAACAGUCGCUCACUCGAGGGUAGCUCUUACCACGUGCCUGUUCACUUCUGUGAUUUCACACGAUUUAGCCAGAAGUAGUUGAAACAGGCCAUACUAAUCCCCCUGUCACAGAUGACAAAACCGGGGCAGCAUGUUCCUGGCAAGAGGCAGAGGCUCCUUCUUGGGCUGUGAGUGCUGCUUGUUCACCCGUGUGUCCCUGUCCCUGGCAUCAUGCCUGGAUUAUUGUAGGUGUUUGCCUAAAGUGAAUGAAUGAAUGAAUGCCCUCAACAGGAGUGUGUGGAAGCUGUGGGCUGCUAGAGAGGCUGAACCACAGGGCCAGGCAGUCAGGUCCUGAUGCCCCCUCUCCUGAGCAUCCCCCGCCCCCCAACCCCCCCUCCCGCCUCCCCUUUGCUCUAGGUCUGGGGAUGGGCCACCUGCCGACACAGCCUUAUGGGGUUUCCCCCAUGGAAAAGCCAGCUGAUGGGGUGGAAGCUGGCUCUCACCCAAUCAGAGGCUUGGUUCUUUGGCACCCAGGCCCCAUAGCCCCCCCCCCCAAAGGGACCGGGGCAGUGCAGACCAAAAGAAAAACAUUUACUUUCUCCAGCGGAGCCCUGGAGCCCAAGUCUGACCCCAGAUAAUGCCAUUACAAUAGGGGCUACGUAGCCAUGUAUGUUGGUAAUGGGCACUUCCUGUGACAAGCUGCCCAGGUAGGUGUUACCUUUCUCCCCAUCUCACAGAUGUAGAAAAGGACUCAGAGACUGAGGGGUGUGUUGGGACCAGAGUCUGUGUACCUGACGACACCCCCGGUGGUGAUACGGACCCUCCUGACUGUCCAUCCUUUCUGGGCUCAUGAAACAGCAAAGUAUCACCCGCUCUAGUGCCCUCCCCUCCCCAGGUCCUCCCCCUCCUGUCCUAGUAUUUUUGUCCAACAGGGAAGUCUCCACUCCCGCCAGCUGCCUGCCCUAUCUGUUCGAGGGCGCCUCCGGGACAUCAUUGUCCUAGGGCUUCCCUCACUAUCGGUCCGAUACUUGGGGUUUCCUUGGCAACAAGGCCAGAGGUCCAGCUCUGGGUCCAUCCGAGCGACCCUUCCCUGGCCCCAGAGUCCAGGGAUCGGGUAGGUUUCCGGAAGCCAGAUGCCAAGUCCGCACGCCUUCCCCAUAUGGGCAGGUGUUGGUCCUGCCUCCCCGGGCUGCUACACAAUUCCGGAGCGUGCCAGAGGCCAAAGCCCAGCGUCAAGGUCAUACCACCCUCCAGCCGCACCUUGUAAGAGAAGCAAGAAGAACGUUGGUUCUAGAGUGAGCUGGCUCUGGGUUCCGAUCCCGCCAUUAUCCCAGCUGGGUGACCUUGGAUAAAUUGCUUUAUCACCGUGGAGUCCAGCCGUCUCAUCUAUAAAAUGGGCAUGACCGUGCCUCACAUCGAACAGCGACAGCGGGGCUCACGUGAGCUGUGUGUAAGCACGCAGCACACAGUAGGCGCCUUGACAAGUGGGUAAACGACGCGGCCCAUUCUGUAGACCUGGCGGGCGGUUCAGUGCUCUGAGCCCGUGGGCAUCGUCCCGCCAGGUCUCUGGGUCCUCUCCAUUCCUGUCAUCCAUCAAUGCUGCCGUGCCACUUCUAUGGCCAUCUGUCAGCACCAGCUGCCGCCUGUCGCCAGCAGGGCACCAAGCAAGGCCCCAGAUGCCCCGGGGGCCCUGCCACACCCUGUCCUCCCAGCUGACUGCUCCAGCCGGCCUUCGGGUCCCCAGAGGAGGGGACUCCGGCAGCUCCCCCGGCUCCCAAGGGCACCCCUUUAUCCUCACCCUGGGGCCUUCCACACCCCCAGGGGCUCCUCAAGAAGGCCUGGGGCCCAGGGACCAGCAUGGGAGCCCCUCUGCUCCCACAGCGCAGCCCCCGCCUCCCGCCCCUCCGCCAGGCUCUUACCACAUCCUGCCGCAGCCCUGAGUCUAUUUCAUCAAGCCAAGGAUUGCUUUUUAAAUAAAUCUAAAAAACUCCA